rnacentral:rRNA from 1 species
UACAGGGGGGGCAAGCGUUGUUCGGAAUUACUGGGCGUAAAGGGCCAGUAGGCGGCCAACUAAGUCCGACGUGAAAUCCCUAGGCUUAACCUAGGAACUGCGUCGGAUACUGGAUGGCUUGAAUUCGGGAGAGGGAUGUGGAAUUCCAGGUGUAGCGGUGAAAUGCGUAGAUAUCUGGAGGAACACCGGUGGCGAAGGCGGCAUCCUGGACCGAGAUUGACGCUGAGGCGCGAAAGCUAGGGUAGCAAACGGG